UACAGAGGGUGCAAGCGUUAAUCGGAAUUACUGGGCGUAAAGCGUGCGUAGACGGUUGCGUAAGUCAGAUGUGAAAGCCCCGGGCUCAACCUGGGAAUUGCAUUUGAGACUGCGUAGCUAGGGUGCGGAAGAGGGAAGCGGAAUUUCCGGUGUAGCGGUGAAAUGCGUAGAUAUACGGAGGAACACCUGCGGCGAAGGCGGGUAGCUGGGCCAACACUGACGCUGAGACGCGAAAGCUAGGGGAGCAAACGGG
rnacentral:rRNA from 1 species